rnacentral:rRNA from 1 species
CCCCUAGACGUUCUGGGCUGCACGCGCGCUACAAUAAUACGCACAGCGAGUAUCACCGAGCUCGAAAGGGCAAGGUAAACAAUAGAAAAGGUACUGUAAUGGUUAUAGAUCCUUGUAAUUAUUGAUCUUCAACGAGGAAUUCCUAGUAAGUAUGUGUCAUCAUCACGCACUGAUUACGUCCCUGCCCUUUGUACACACCGCCCGUCGCUCCUACCGAUUGAGUGAGCCGAUGAAACUGCCGGAUGUGGACUAUUCAUAGUCUGCAGAAGAUAUUUGAAUCGUGGCGCUUAGAGGAAGGAGAAGUCGUAACA